rnacentral:rRNA from 1 species
UUAAUUGAAGAGUUUGAUCAUGGCUCAGAUUGAACGCUGGCGGCAGGCCUAACACAUGCAAGUCGAGCGGUAACACAGGAGAGCUUGCUCUCUGGGUGACGAGCGGCGGACGGGUGAGUAAUG